UAAAAGCUGGGGAGUGUGAUAUGUGUAUCCGCUUUCUUCCUUCUUUGUUUUCUGGAAACCUUAGUGUUGUCUUUCUCGGAGCACCCAAAAUGCCGCCUAAAUUUGACCCUUCUCAGGUCGUCGAUGUCUUUGUCCGGGUCACCGGUGGCGAAGUCGGUGCGGCCAGCUCCCUGGCUCCGAAAAUUGGGCCGCUCGGGCUCUCCCCUAAAAAGAUUGGUGAAGGCGUCGCUAAGGAGACAGCCAAGGACUGGAAGGGCCUUCGCGUCACCGUCAAGCUCACGGUGCAGAAUCGCCAGGCCAAGGUGACUGUUGUUCCAUCGGCGGCGGCUUU
rnacentral:misc_RNA from 1 species